UAGGGAAUUUUCGUCAAUGGGCGCAAGCCUGAACGAGCAAUGCCGCGUGAGUGAGGAAGGUCUUCGGAUCGUAAAGCUCUGUUGCGGGGGAAAAAGGAAGCAGAAAGGAAAUGGUCUGCUUUUGAUGGUACCCCGCCAGAAAGUCACGGCUAACUACGUGCC
rnacentral:rRNA from 1 species